CGCAGUUCUACAGGACCAAGCGUCUCAUCUCUUGAUUUGAGCGCAACUUCAUUGGGGAAGAACUGUGUAGAAUUUGGGGUAAAAACUCUCACAUGUUCCGUCCAGAUUCAACAACCAUUUACCCUGGACAAAUAUGUGUCUGGAGUAUUAAUAUUCUAUAAGUUAUUUAGAUAACAGUUUUUGGAGAAGAACAAGGUCGGGACGGGGUGUUGUUUUCGUUGAUCUAUCCAACGCCCAGUGUAUCCCCGCCCCUCUGGCCACACCCAUCCCUGUUAGCGAUGAGCCCAGUGGCCACGCCCUGUGCUGACCUAAUCAGAUAGCCCCAGUACAGGCCUGCCCCGCAUGCCCUACUCUGUCCCCGUGUCGGAGCACAUGGAGGAGUGCAGCGUGAUCCCUGACGAUCUGGACAGCCUGCUUGGGGGAUGACUGCAUCUCCGAGAAAGUCAGCGAGUCACAGAGCCCAGUCCAAGGUGCUAUCCCCACCAACCUCCCCAACACAGCUGUGGGCCUGCACCCUCCAUACUCCUCCAGCCCCCUCACCCCAGCUACCCCCUGCCUUCUUCAGCUUCACUGUCAGCCAGAUGUCCGCUCUGGAGACCUACCCCUCGCUGGGCCAGAGGGACCAGACCUCCACACAGGUGCUGGAUGCCCUGGGGGCCUUUUCCCCGGAGGCUGGGGACACAGAGGGCAAAGGAGGGGCUGGAAUUGGAGGGCUGGACUCCCUCUCUGAGUACAUCUUGCCUGACAUAUGA
rnacentral:lncRNA from 1 species